GACGAACGCUGGCGGCGUGCUUAACACAUGCAAGUCGAACGGAAAGGCCCUGCUUUUGCGGGGUGCUGGAGUGCCGCAAGGGUGAGAAACACGUGAGUAGCCUGCCCUUUAGUUUGGGGUAAAUUCAUUAAACUGGGGCGCAAACCGGAUAUAAGAUCCUGCUGCAUAGUGGUGGUUGUUAAAUUUCGGCGGUUGGGGAUGGAAUCGCGGUGUAUCAGCUUGUUGGUGGGGUAGUGGCUUAACAAGGCUUCGAGGGGUAGCCGGCAUGCGAGGGUGACCGGCCACAAUGGGCUUGGGAUGGGGCCCAGAGUGAUACGGGAGGCAGCAGUGGGAAUUAUUGCACAAUGGGCCGAAGCAGUAUGCAGCAACGCCGCGUCCGGGAUGACUGCCUUCGGGUUGUAAACCGCGUUCGACUGUGAAGAAGAGUGAGUGACGGUAAUGGGUCAAGAAGCACCGGCUAACUACGUG
rnacentral:rRNA from 1 species